UACGUAGGGUGCAAGCGUUAAUCGGAAUUACUGGGCGUAAAGCGUGCGCAGGCGGUUGUGCAAGACAGAUGUGAAAUCCCCCGGGCUUAACCUGGGAAUUGCAUUUGUGACUGCACGGCUAGAGUGUGUCAGAGGGGGGUAGAAUUCCACGUGUAGCAGUGAAAUGCGUAGAUAUGUGGAGGAAUACCGAUGGCGAAGGCAGCCCCCUGGGAUAACACUGACGCUCAUGCACGAAAGCGUGGGGAGCAAACCAGG
rnacentral:rRNA from 1 species